AUGAACAGGCUGCCCCUAUCCAAUCCACUGUGAACCUGCCGAUAUGAACAACCUCGGCUUUCAAAUGAUCAGUGUGAAGAGUGGUUGAAUACUAAGAACAAACGAACAAUUUGCGCUCCGCUGGGAAUUAUUCUUCUUAUUAUUAUUAUUUCUUCUUUUUUUUUCCUUUUUUUUCCUUUGAACCCCGACACAUAUCCUUCUU
rnacentral:lncRNA from 1 species